CCUACAGUCACAUGCAGACAGUUAGCAUUUUAAUUCAAUUUGACAUAUGUAUAUACACAAAACACACCCACACACACAGAUGUUGUAUGAACAGUUGGAUCUAUAUCUGCUUUGUUUUUUGUUUAUGCCAAUUCACACACACUCAGUGAAACACAAUGGGGUUGAUUUGCUAAACCAGGAAUUGUAUUCGUUUAACAAUAAAUCAACCAUUUUUAG